AAAUAAACAUGCUCUCAAAUUCACUUUUUGUCACAGGGCCUAUAAAAGAAGGAGAGAAGAGGUGCAGUCUAGACAGGAGUGACUUCACUUGGGCAAAAUGAAGCUUCUAGUGCUGACUGUUAUUGGGACAUUACUGGGCGCUGCCUGGUCCCGUCCUGGGGUGCCUGAUAGUGACCCACUGCAAGCGGCCUCAUGUAGUGACUCACAAGUAGCCAUUGCAGCAGAUCUAGCUGUGCGGGAAAUUAACAAGAGGCAGGAUGAAGGCAACAUCUUAGUCGUGUAUCGCAUUAAUGAUGCUCACAUACAGAACAAAGAUACGGGCAACACAUUUUACCUUGAUAUUCAUGUUGUGGAUACUGAAUGUCCUGCAGUUAGUAGAAAAGAUGGUAAAGAAUGCAACACCAAGCCGGCCCAUGAAACAGUAAGUG